rnacentral:rRNA from 1 species
UACGUAGGAUGCAAGCGUUGUUCGGAAUUACUGGGCGUAAAGAGUACGUAGGCGGUAAUGUAAGUCUGAUAUUAAAGACCAAAGCUUAACUUCGGGACUGUAUUGGAAACUGCAUUACUAGAGGACAAUAGAGGAAGUUGGAAUUCCCAGUGUAGAGGUGAAAUUCGUAGAUAUUGGGAAGAACACCAGUGGCGAAGGCGGCUCACUGGCCCGUAACUGACGCUGAGGUGCGAAAGCGUGGGGAGCAAACAGG